rnacentral:rRNA from 1 species
AUUGAACGCUGGCGGCAUGCCUUACACAUGCAAGUCGAACGGCAGCACGGGAGCAAUCCUGGUGGCGAGUGGCGAACGGGUGAGUAAUAUAUCGGAACGUGCCCAGUCGUGGGGGAUAACGUAGCGAAAGCUACGCUAAUACCGCAUACGAUCUAUGGAUGAAAGCGGGGGAUCGCAAGACCUCGCGCGAUUGGAGCGGCCGAUAUCAGAUUAGGUAGUUGGUGAGGUAAAGGCUCACCAAGCCGACGAUCUGUAGCUGGUCUGAGAGGACGGCCAGCCACAGUGGGACUGAGACCCGGCCCAGACUCCUACGGGAGGCAGCAGUGGGGAAUUUUGGACAAUGGGCGCAAGCCUGAUCCAGCAAUGCCGCGUGCAGGAUGAAGGCCUUCGGGUUGUAAACUGCUUUUGUACGGAACGAAACGGCGAGCUCUAAUACAGUUUGCUAAUGACGGUACCGUAAGAAUAAGCACCGGCUAACUACGUGCCAGCAGCCGCAGUAA